CGCGGGGGCCUGCGUGAAGGGCGCAGCACGAGGACGGGGGACAGGGAAGAGGCUCCCAAGGGUGCCGCCGCCCCCCAAAUGGCUUCCCUUUUCCGGGGUUUUCUCUUUUUUCUCAUCACGUGACUAAUUGGGAGCCGCCUGACCAGUUGGGCUCCUUUAAGGGAUGUAAAAUGAAAACGCCCCGAAUCGUCUGUUCCUGCACCUUCCGGAAGGCCUCUGGCGCCCCACCCCCUGCGGAAGCCCCCGAGAACUUGGGGCCGCUCCUCCUGCCGGCCUCACAGACGGAGCGACAGGCAACACCCCCUCCUGGGCCCCCCCGCCGGGCCACCCUGCCGCUGCUCAGGGCACUUGCCUGGGAACCCUCCUGGCUAGGCCCCCCCAGAGCCUCGCCCUUCAGCCCCGCGAAGGGCUCCCGGCCUCGGGAGAGGCCCUCUUUCCCCCUAGAGCAGAGCAAUGGAUGGAACCACCACCAAGACCCCUUCGCGGAGCCUGCCAUGUGGGGGGAGCCCUUCUUGCCCCUCCGUAAGCCCAGGGCAGCCGAGUUCGAGGCAGGCCCUCGGUCCUGGCGGCCUGCGGCAAGCCGGCGGGCAGGAGAGGAGAGCCUCUUCCCUGGAGAACGGAGAGAGGGAGGGGGAGCCAGCGCGGCCAGGCACCCCUCCCGCCUUCUGGGGGCCUCCAGGGGUACCACCUCAUGGGGUAGGGACAAAAGCAAAGCAGUCCCUGCCCUCCGGGGACUCUUGAUCCCUGGGAAGAGCCAGCAGCCACGGAAAGGAGCUGUGUGGUGUAGAGGGCAGCCCCCGAGCUGAGGCCGGAAGGAAAGAGGGAGGAAGAGCAGGUGUCCUGGCUUGCGCCGCACCACUCUCCGCCCUCCCUAACACGCUCUCCAUCUCGUCCAUGCGAGGCUCUUCUCGGCCAGGGACGCCGGGUGCACCUUCUCCUUGCUGGGAACCAGCUCCUAGUGGGUCGCCUCCUCCCUCUCCCAGCCCUCCCUGGCAGGCUCCUGGCCAGUAGCCUUGGGCAUCCCACACUUUCCCUCUACUCAGAGGCCUCAGAAAGGAUCUGGAUAGACGGGGAGGGCGUCCUCUGGGACCUUGGAUGGAGAAACUUCCUUUCCAUGCCGUCCAGCCGUGCUGUGCUGUGCAGUGAGCUUCGGGGGUUUAGCAGCGGCUCGGGCCGCCUUGGCUCCGCGGCCAUCUGGGACAGACCCACAUCUCGCUCCAGGCACGUCCCCUACGUGGCUGGCCCAAACAGAACUUAUCAUCUUUCCAAAGGAGCCCUCUCCUCUUCUGAGCUGCUCUGCUGACUUGUCCAACGCAGAACCAAGAUGGUGGAGGGCAGUCGGCAGCCCAGCCACCCAACGCCAUCUUGAAGCAGCAGGGCCAACCAAAGGUCGCAGGGAGCCAUUUCUCGAGCCCCGGACAGCUAAGGAGCUUGGCAAGAGAGGUUUGGGGCUGGGGCUGCACCAGCCUGGAGGGUGGCAGCGGCAGCAGUCACAGGAGCUCUCAGCCCCGAGAUGGCAAAGGGGUGGAAUGACUGGGCAGAAAGAGGCCCUGCGGACCCUUGGCUGGCACUGUGGAUCAAUGGUGCAGAUGGGCAGUUGUGGGCUACAGCUCGAAGCAAAGAGGAGCACCUUCAGGGUCAGUCACCAGGGAGCAAGGGCUCGGCCAUGAUUCGGCUAAGUUUAAUUGUGGUUGGACUGAAUAUUUAUAUAGGUGGUCGCCAGGGGUUUAAUUUCUAAAUCCCCAAAUGAAUUCCUAAAGUAAAUGGAAUUUAUGGUCGCUUAUUUACAACAGAGGGAAGAUAUUAAGGAAGAGAGACGGGGAGAGAGAGAGACAGACAGAGGGAGAGAGAGACAGAGGGAGAGAGAAACAGAUAGAGACAGAGAGGGAGGGAGAGAAAGAGAGACAGGGAGGGAGAGGGAGAGACAGAGAGGGAGAGACAGAUAGAGAGAGAGAGAGGGAGAGAGACAGAGAUAGAAGGAGAGAAAGAGAGAGAGAGGGAGAGAGAAAGAGAGACAGAGAGAGGGAGAGAGAAAGAGAGAGAGAUAGAGGGAGAGCGAAAGAGAGAAAGAGACAGUGGGAGGAGAGAGAGACAUAGAGAGAGGGAGAGACAGAGACAGAGGAGAGACAGAUAGAGAGGGAGAGAGACAGAGAUAGAGGGAGAGAGAGAGAGAGGAGAGAGAGAGACAGAUAGUGAGAUGGAGAGAGAGAGAGACAGAGAGGGAGGGAGAGAGAGACAGAUAGACAGAGAGAGAGGGAGAGAGAGAGAGACAGAGAUAGAGGGAGAGAGACAGAGAGAGAGAGAGGGAGGGAGAGAGAGAGAGAGAAAGGGGGAGAGAGAGAGCGAGCUCUGGUUUCCACUGAUACCAGUUAGAAAUUCUAAGCCCCAGCCAGGGGAAAGGUCUCAAGAUGGUGGGCCUUUCCUGGAGGCUUCAUGCCUCCAGAAAGACAUGGUCACUACGUCAGCCUUUCACUCACCAACAGUGACCAAAAGGAAAGCAGUCUGAGGUCUCCUGCACGAGUUCCUCCAAGGUCCAGUUCCUCUUCCAGUCUCUCCUCAAGUGUCUGUCCUCCAGUCUUUACUCGGAGUCAGAGUUCUUCCAUCCCGAAUCCCUUCUGUGCUCCUCUUUUUAAAGACCUUUUUCUCUUGUGUCACCUCCCCUAAAUUCAGGUCUACCAGUCACAGCAGAUGCUGUGCUCUAGGACUGCCCAGAAGGCAGUUGGUCCAUUCUAAUUCUUUAGGCACUAUCGCACUCUAGUCACAGACCUCCCACUUCACAUCAGUGGGAUGCUUAUACCUUUGGUGAUCAGACCUUCCCACUCAACUUCAAGCACUGUGCUUACAUUUCUGGGGAUUAAAUCAACAAAUAGACAGAGGAUCACCAUUCAAUCUUCCCAAUCAAGGCAGAGCUAAAUUCAAUCUUCACAAUUCCAAGGCAAAGGUAAGAGAGCCAGAGCCCUGGUCACAGCUCCCAGACCCAUGGGAAUGCUAGUGCUUAAAGCCUUGGGAAAGCAAGAGUCCUGCCUGGGUCAAGAUCAGAGUACGGACCAGGAGAGCAGCAAUCAUACUUCUCCCAGAACACAGCACCUUGGAAGCACCAAAAGCUUGCAGACCCCCAGAACCAGCUCUGAAAACAGAAACCCCAAAAAGCCUGGACGUUAGCUCAGGGCCUCCUCACUCAAGAGAAGUGGGGUCCAACUUCAACACAAAGUUCAAAGUGAAGAAAUAGCCUGAGUAGGGGCAGCUAGGUGGCUCAGUGGGUAGAGAGCUGCAGGGAGCCAACAGACCCUCACAGGCUGACAUGGUCACAGUGAGACGUCAGAAACUGCAAAGCAGCCCCCCAAAAAGGAGAUGCCCCCCGCCAACCUCCUUUCUGUGACUUCUCUUCCCAACUUCCCCCACUAAUGGAUUUGCUAUGAUUACUAAUCUCUCCCCAAUACAAGAGAAAUAAUAUGAGAGCAAAUACUUAUAAGAUCAGUAUAUGUGUACCCCACUUUAAUCCCCCUAGAUUGUUACCCCCAAAAGAUUGCAAUUUCAGAAUUAAAGCCCAAAGAUUAUUGCCCAUAACUCCUCCUUUCUCAAGCACAAGACACACUCCAAGGCCCUUUAAUAAACACUGGCCAAAUGCUCGAGCA
rnacentral:lncRNA from 1 species